UUAACAUGAUGGACUAUAGGACAGGACUGCUGCUUUUAACUGUCUGCUGGGCAGGUGUUGAUGGUCAGACUCUGACAGAAUCUGAACCAGUGAUUAAAAGGCCUGGAGAAUCCCACAGACUGACCUGUACAACCUCUGGGUUCACAUUCAGCAGCUGGGAUAUGGCCUGGAUCAGACAGGCUCCUGGAAAAGGCCUGGAGUGGGUUGCCUGGAUUGAUGAUGGUAGUGGUAGCAGCAAAUCCUACUCGCAGUCAGUUCAAGGCCGGUUUACCAUCUCCAGAGACAACAGCAGACAGCAGGUGUAUCUGCAGAUGAACAGUCUGAAGACUGAAGAUUCUGCUGUUUAUUAUUGUGCUCGAGACUCACAGUGACUGGAGUUGGUUGAGCAGCUGUACAAAAACCUACAGGACUCAUCUUUACCACAAUCAACUCACAUGACUAAUGUCAUUAAUGUUAAAAGAUACAAUACACUUCAUCAAAAUGACUCCUCAGGGAAGACAGUGGCUGAACAAUAAAUUGUUUUUGCUAACUGUCUAACUUGUGAUCUACAAGUGUUUUUACUCUAAGUUUGCAGGAGUUUGGAGUGGAGUUAAAAUUACAAUAUGCACAGAGUCCUGC